GACGUAGGAGGCGAGCGUUAUCCGGAUUCACUGGGCGUAAAGCGCAUGUAGGCGGAUGUCUAAGUCGUGUGUUAAAGCCCCUGGCUCAACUGGGGGAGGUCAUGCGAGACUGGAUGACUUGAGGGCAACAGAGGCACGUGGAACUCCCGGUGUAGCGGUGGAAUGCGUAGAGAUCGGGAAGAACACCCGUGGCGAAGGCGGCGUGCUGGGUUGCAACUGACGCUGAGAUGCGAAAGUGUGGGGAGCAAACAGGAUUAGAA
rnacentral:rRNA from 1 species